UAAGUGCAGUGAAGGCAGCAGAAGUC
rnacentral:piRNA from 1 species